GACAUUUUCUUUCAGUAAAUACGUUCAUGAAGAUAACUGGGACCCUUGUAGCCCAGAAAGCUAAACGUUUUCCUUCUUACAGCAGCAGGUGAGCUCUUCAAACCCAGGCCAUGCGCAAGUAUGAAGCCUGAUUACAGAAC
rnacentral:lncRNA from 14 species